ensembl:lincRNA
AUUCCCUGAAUAUGAUGGCUAUUCUCAGUUUUCAAUUUGACUAUAUCUGGAAUUAACUAAAACCCAGAAGUGGCUGGACACACUUGGAAAGGGAUUUUGCUUAGAUCAUUUGAAGUUGGACGAUUCAUUUCACGCAUGGUCUCCCUCGGACUCCCUGAAAUAACUGAGUCCUGCGGGUCGGGACAAGUGGCAUCCAAACGUGGGGCCCGAGGUACAGACCGUCACUGGACGGAGCCAAUUUUCCUGAGAAGGUCACUCCGAUGAAGUCGUUUUGAGGAGAGCUCUCACCGCUCAUGAGAGAAAGUCAUCCUCGAUAAAUACUUCUCUCAGCCUUAACCAGAGAAGCUCCUCUGAGCUGUGAAAGGCUACGGAUAUAGAGGCAUAUAACCACACAAGGUGCUGAGAAUAAGUGAAAUAUCCAGGUAUAAAGGAGAUAUUUAUGCUACCCCUAAAGCUCAUGCAAUAUUGAAGAAGCAGCCAAAUGCAUCACCUCAACAAGUUCUCUGACUGAUUGCAUGGAGAUUGCUUAAGACAGCCAAAAGAACCAAUUUGGUCAAGUAAAAUCAGCUUAAUGGCCAUAAAGUCUGACAGGAACUGAUGAGAAGUUGUGAAUGUAAGACUCCAGGGAACCUUAGCUUACCUAGGACCCCCUGAGUGAACCACGUGGAUCCAGGAUCGAUGCAAAGAAGCAAGAGGAAUUUAUUGUUCCAGUGCACUGAGGUCUUCCCAGACCCGAAGAAGAGGCGGUGGGUGACCCCCAGCAUCUGCCGAGUUUUCAUAUGGUUUCCAGGGACAGAAUAGAGCAUCAACAACUUGGCACAAUAUGAUAGGUGGAACAGUGCACCCUUUAAACUGAUUGAACUUUAGGGAAUGAGGUGACAAGGACUUUACUUGUCUGAAGGUGGGCAACAAUCGGUCCUGCAGAAUGUGUCCCCACCAGCAGGUUGGUCCCCGCCCUGUGGUCUGAGAAAUGGUAAUUAGCCUCUCCCUUCUGGAGGUGCAAGUGUUCCAUGACCUUCCCAAAGUUCCUAAGCUGAUGUUUUCAUGAGAAGUGCUGAGUUCCAAGGCCCUUUUUUAUGUUUUGAUGAAAGAACGCCAUGUUGGUUUCUCUACAAAGAUUAGUGAUGACUGCAUUGAUCCAAGAAAUAGCUAAAAGGUAACAUACUACUAUAAUUAUAUAAAACAAUACAGCGUUUACAGUUUUGUUUGUAUUUGUCUUUUAUUUAUUUAUUUGCUUAUUUUUGGCAUUUGAAAGAUACCAUGUUUUUGUAUCUAACAAUAAAUCUGGGGAGAACUAAGGUGCAGGUUUCUUAUGUUGAUCCAACACCUAAAACAGGAGCUGCUCUCUUUCUUCAUUAUUCAGGGAUUCCCUCAUUAUUAUGGUAAUGAGGUUAGCUCUGAGCUCCUUCCACAAGAACUCCUCUUUGCUAAUCCUAUAGAGUACUGGAUUCCUGGGGCAUUAUUGGAUAAAAGUUUCUAUUCUUACUCCAACCACUGCAGUAUUUUCACUAGCUCAGCAUUAUGUAUUUUUCUGCAUUCUUCCUUGCAUAUAUACUAGUAAAAGGUAACUGUUUUCAUAAAUAAAAAAAAAACACCUUCCUGC